CCUACGGGAGGCAGCAGUGGGGAAUAUUGCGCAAUGGGCGAAAGCCUGACGCAGCGACGCCGCGUGAGGGAUGAAGGUCUUCGGAUCGUAAACCUCUGUCAGCAGGGAAGAACGGUCACUGUGCUAAUCAGCAGUGAAUUGACGGUACCUGCAAAGGAAGCACCGGCUAACUCCGUGCCAGCAGCCGCGGUAAUACGGAGGAUGCGUGCGUUAAUCGGAAUUACUGGGCGUAAAGCGCUCGUAGGCGGUAUGUCAAGUCAAGGGUGAAAUCCCCGCGCUAAACGUGGGAACUGCCUGUGAAACUGGCAAACUUGAGUGUGUGAGAGGAUAGUGGAAUUCCAGGUGUAGGAGUGAAAUCCGUAGAUAUCUGGAGGAACAUCAGUGGCGAAGGCGACUAUCUGGCACAUAACUGACGCUGAGGAGCGAAAGCGUGGGUAGCAAACAGGAUUAGAUACCCGAGUAGUC
rnacentral:rRNA from 1 species